rnacentral:piRNA from 1 species
UAUAUAACAGAGACAAAACCUUAGGGUC